rnacentral:lncRNA from 13 species
AUGAGUCAAUUCAAGACCAUCCAAAACAGCCAGGGUGUGGAAGUCAGUGAGGGGAUGUGUACGUGCCUGCCUGGCUGUAUGUGCAUACUUGUGUGUGUGUGUGUGUUAGUUCUCACACACAACUGGCUCAGAGCCUGGGAUAGAGGGAGCAUGUUUGGUUUGGCCUCCUGUCUUCUGUUCCGGGGGACUGUGAAAUCUGAAAUGAAACGCAUCGCCAUGGUGAAGCAAUUCAGCCUUAUAAGUCAUCCUCUCUGCAAUACUGCUGCAUCUCCUCUCCUGCUCCAGCAGAUGUGGAUCCCCAUGGUGACAGGAGAAGAACACCAGAGACACUGCAGAUGGAUGAGUUACACAUCACAAAGAGGAGGAGACAGAAUGACAGAGUAUGUGUUAGUGUUGCUGUGUGUGGUGUGUGCAUGUGAAUGUGCGUUUGUAAAAGCAGGUGUGAGAGCACAUAUACAGCGUGUGCAUGACUCCAUGUAGACAAAUGUAUAUAUCUGCGCCUGUAGUUUCCUAAUAGAUGGGUGUCAGGAGGAGAGACAGACAGACAAAGAAAGAGAGAAAGCUCUCAAUUCAAUAUUUCUUAAUUUUGCCAUGUCUCCUGAUCAAAAAUAUACGUGCAGCAAUUUCAAAGAUUUGACUGAGUUACGGUUCAUAUAAGGAAAUCUGUCAAUUGAAAUAAAUAAAUAAGGCCCUAAACUAUGGAUUUCACAUGACUGGGCAGGGGCGCAGCCAUGGGUGGGCCUGGGAGGGCAUAGGCCCACCCACUUGGGAGAAAGGCCCACUCACUGGAGGGCCAGGCCCAGCCAAUCAGAAUGGGGUUUUCCCCACAAAAGGGCUUUAUUACAGACAGAAUACUCCUCAGUUUUAUCAGCUGUCUGGGUGGCUGGUCUCAGACGAUCCCACAGGUGAAGAAGCCAGAUGUGGAGGUCCUGGGCUGGCAUGGUUACACUUGGUCUGGGGUUGUGAGGCCAGUUGGACGUACUGGAAAAUUCUCUAAAAUGAUGUUGAUAGAGAAAUUAACAUUAAAAUGAACAUUUAAUUAUCUGGCAACAGCUCUGGUGGACAUUCCUGCAGUCAGCAUGCCAACUCCCUCAAAACAUGAGACAUCUGUGGCUUUGUGUUGUGUGACAAAAAAGGCCACUCUAAAAUGUGCAGUUAUUGUCCCCAGCACAAGGAGCACCUGUGUAAUGAUCAUGCAAUUUAAUUAUCUUCUUAAUAUGCCACACCUGUCAGGUGGAUGGAUUAUCUUGGCAAAGGAGAAACCCUCACUAACAGGGAUGUAAACAAAUUUGUGCUCAAACUUUGAGAGAAAUAAGCUUUUUGUGCAUAUGGAUAAUUUCUGGGAACAAAUUCAAGCAACACUUUACUUGUUGCGUUUAUAUUUUGUGUUCAGUAAUAGUAUGGUAGGUCUCAACACCUAAUAGCAAUACUAGUGUCUAUGUGAGAGGAAAAUGGAAAACGUUACCGAGUAUUGGUCGUCAUGGAAACCAAAUUGUCGUAACGCCGUAUGGCUGCUGGGAGAGGUGAAUUAUGAGAUGUUGGGGAGAUGUUGAGGGUGAGCCCAUGGAAGGUCAUGGACUUGCAGUAGUUUGUACAGCCCUGAAGGUGGCGUUGUAUUGUAUGAUAGGUACUAUACAUUACCAAGCAGAUUAUUCUGUCAUAUUUAGUCACUACACAUAAACCAACAAAUAAUCUUUUCGAUACUUUACUCUUUCUAUUCACCCCUUUCCCUUUUCAUUUGUACACAGCAUGUGAGGAUAUCGUAAUGGUUGUAAACCAUAUGGUUUGAAAACGCAACAAUACCAUAGAUUAUCAUCAUCACUUUUGAGCCAGCGUGAGUGGCACAGAAAUUAGACAGGCAUGCCGUUAUGUGGGUUUUAUCUGAGCACACAGUCAAAUGGAGAGUGAAGGGGCAUCAUUCUCACUGGGGCUUAAUGUGUUUGGACUCACAGGGCUAAGAGUAAUGACAGCUUCGCCAGACAACAGAAUCCUCCCGCCGUGCCACGCCUGCUAAAACAGCCCCGUCACAUCGUAUCCUAGCAGCACCCAGGGCAAAUAGACACUACUCUGUCAGAGGAGGAAUUCAUACCCACAAAGCACUGCUGCCAGACCCCCUCUCUUCCAGUCUCCCCCAUCGCGCACAAUCAUCUUUAGGUGUCACCAUGUCCACACACCCACUCAGGACCAGAGAGGCAGACGGGGGCUUUGGGGAAGGUAGGGGUGUGCAGAAGCCUGUCUAUUUUGAGGUCAUGUUUGAUAAGCCCUUCCUAUGAAGUGACGAGAUGAAAUGACAGUUUGCCAAAAGCGGGUCACGGGGCAGGGUGUAGGCGGCCUAGCAUGGUCGUCUAUGGACAUAAUUAGCCAUUCAUUAUCAUAUCAGUUAAUUACUGGACUACUGUUGUUUUCUCUCAGGAAAGAUCUCUUCUGGACACCAGCUCAACAUCGGGAACAGAUUUCUGAUUCAUACGUAUUUUGUUCCUUUUUCUCUCCGGUUCCCUUAUUAUAAUAGUUGUGAUGGGAAAACAAUGGCUUUGCUCUUUAUUCUAGCUGCAGGCGCCAUCUGGGAGCGAGACGUGCAUUACAGGAGCUAUCCAUAUGGUCGGGGCAUCAUGACUUUGCUCAUCUCAUCUCCCGUCAACAUCUCUUCUGCUCAAGUCCUCUCUCAAAUGAUCCACAUACACGUUACUAACAGAAAGACAAAAACAUGCUUGUGUUUAUGUAUUUUUGCAGAGAUUAUACAAAUGUACACGUAACAGUCGGUAUUAGAUUAACAUUUUAAACUCAUGUCUUCAAUACUCUUCAAAUGUACAUUUCCUCAUGAAUCGGGUGCUAUAGAUUGUAUGAAGAGUCUUAAUCUGAUUAUAGUACAUUUAUUAUAAUACAGAAAAUGAUUUGCCACCUCCAUAUCAUCCCCACCCCCAGUCGUUGUUCAGUGUCGGGAGCUGGGGGCUUUUUUAAACCCAUCUGCUGUCUCGCACCUUCUAAUCUGCCCCCCGGAACCCAAUGGCAUCGUACUCCUCAUCCUGUCCCCAUCCUACCCACCCAUCACCCAGUGCAUAAUAUAUUCCCCCUGUAACCAAAUACUACAGCUCACAUUGUAUUAAGCCACAUUGCAUAUGCUUAUAACACACACAGUGAUGUUUACAGACCUGUCAUCUGGAAUGUACUGUAGGCUAGAUGUAAGAUAAGUGUAUCUAUGUAUAUUUAGAAAUAAACAGUGUCAAUAUUAAAUCUCUGUGUGUUUACUAAUUAUGACAAAUUCUUAUUCUACUCAAAAUCAACACUUAUUCGUCGCAAUUACUUUUUUUAUUGUCGUCUGUUUUGUUGAUCAGCUUUCUUUAUGUUUACAAAUGGAAAACAUUCUCUGUCCAGUGAUACUUUUCAAUGUGUAGCUUUGAGAGAGAGAGAGAGCGAGAGAGAGAGGAUGUCCUAUGUUGAAACUCAACCUUGACUGUGUACAUCAGACCUCCAAACAACUGAUGCCCUCUUCCUAUCGUGUGUGUGUGUGUCCACGGACCAGCCGGGAGAGGGUCCUAAUCCCUGUGAUUCCACAGAGUGAGAGGCAGAGGGUAUGAGCUGUUGAACAAGAUAAAGAGGAGAGGGGGGAUGGAGGAGAAGAGAGGAGAAGAUGAGAGAAGGAGAGCAAAGAUUAGGGGAGGAAGGUGUGAUAAGGAGAUUCCGAGUAGAUGCAGAAGCAUGGCGAAAUAAGAAAGUAGAAAGGGGACACAAGGACAGCAAGUGAAUAAGAAAAUCAGAUUGCUUGUGGGAGAUAGAGAGAGGGGAAGAGGACAAAGCUGAAGGCUGUGUGAGAUAGGCUGGCUAUCCCCCCCAUCUCCAUCUCUCCUAAUCUCACUCUGCCUCCUCCAUAUCUCUCUCCAUCUCUCCAUCUUGCCAAAUAGUCAGAAAAUUCACCGCCAGUGUGGUUGUGGUUUAAUUGGCUUUCAGUAUUCAUAAUUAAAACAAUGCCUUGACGUGCAGCUCCUACAUUGUCUUCCAUUAAUUUCAGAUUGCUCUUGUCAUUUGCACAUUACCCCAUGCAAAAGCAAAUUAAAGUGUUUCGUUUUCUCCCUUCACAUUCAGCGUCAUCUUCCCCA